ACUAACGGCUGGCGGCGUGCCUAACACAUGCAAGUCGAACGAGAAAGUUGGCUUCGGCCGAUGAGUAAAGUGGCGCACGGGUGAGUAACGCGUGGAUAAUCUGCCCUUUAAGUUUGGAAUAACGUACCGAAAGGUGCGCUAAUACCGGAUAAUACUGAAUGACUACUGUCGUUUAGUCAAAGAAGGCCUCUGCUUGCAAGCUUUUGCUGAAGGAUGAGUCCGCGUACCAUUAGCUAGUUGGUGGGGUAAUGGCCUACCAAGGUUAUGAUGGUUAGCUGGUCUGAGAGGAUGAUCAGCCACACUGGAACUGAAACACGGUCCAGACUCCUACGGGAGGCAGCAGUGGGGAAUAUUGGACAAUGGGGGCAACCCUGAUCCAGCCAUGCCGCGUGUGUGAAGAAGGCCUUCGGGUUGUAAAGCACUUUAAGCGGGGAGGAAGGCCUGAUGGCUAAUAUCCAUCGGGAUUGACGUUACCCGCAGAAUAAGCACCGGCAAACUUCGUG
rnacentral:rRNA from 1 species